UACGUAGGGGGCUAGCGUUGUCCGGAAUCAUUGGGCGUAAAGCGCGCGUAGGCGGCCCGGUAGGUCCGCUGUGAAAGUCAAAGGCUCAACCUUUGAAUGUCAGCGGAUACUGCCAGGCUAGAGUCCGGAAGAGGCGAGUGGAACUCCUGGUGUAGCGGUGGAAUGCGCAGAUAUCAGGAAGAACACCAACGGCGAAGGCAGCUCGCUGGGACGGAACUGACGCUAAGGCGCGAAAGCGUGGGGAGCGAACAGG
rnacentral:rRNA from 1 species